rnacentral:rRNA from 1 species
GAUGAACGCUAGCGGCAGGCUUAAUACAUGCAAGUCGAGGGGCAGCACGGGUAGCAAUAUCUGGUGGCGACCGGCAAACGGGUGCGGAACACGUACACAACUUUCCUUUAAGUGGGGGAUAGCCCAGAGAAAUUUGGAUUAAUACCCCGUAAUAUUAUGAGAUGGCAUCAUUUUAUAAUUAUAGCUCCGGCGCUUGAAGAUGGGUGUGCGGCUGAUUAGGUAGUUGGCGGGGUAACGCCCACCAAGCCUACGAUCAGUAACUGGUGUGAGAGCACGACCAGUCACACGGGCACUGAGACACGGGCCCGACUCCGUACGGGAGCAGCAAGUAAGGAAUAUUGGUCAA